rnacentral:lncRNA from 1 species
UCCCGGAGAGCAGAUUGGAAGCCCGGAGCCUGGGAGCGCAGCCCUGUGGAAGGCCAAUGAUGCUCAAUGAGGAGUGACAACAGGCAGGUGGCAGAGGAAGUCGAGCCGUGCUCGUGUCUCUGCCAGCUCACGGGUUGGCAUGCCAUCACGGGCUGGAUCUGUCACAGGGUGAUUGCAGAGGAGAAAUCCAGAUGCUGGGAGAGGGAAGGGACGGGAGCAGGCAGAAGCUCCUGCUGUGAUGCCGAGCGGCUGGAACAAGAACAAAACGUAAGAUGCCCAUCAAUAAUUACCAUUCCUAGGCAGCAUUUAAGCCUCGAAUUCCUAGGCUCAAACCUGUGGGCUGAGAACAUGCUCCCCUGCUUUAGACCUAUGCAGCAGGCGAGAAGAUGUUGA